rnacentral:lncRNA from 1 species
AGACUCACCGUUUAGUCGUUAUCGAAGGCCAAGGAUGAUGUUUGCAGAAAAUGCAGAGUGAAGAUUAUCUUUGUCUGUGCUAAUUAUGAACUGCGUAACCUGCAUUUUCUCAUCUGCCAUAUAUAUAUAUAUUGAAGAUAUGGGUUUUAGAUCGCAUAAGAGGCAGAAUAGCAGUGAUUAAUAUAGUAAUUAAAUGAUUGCAUUAAGCAAUUGUGGGAAAGUGACUAAAAAGGCAAAACCUUGUGCGAAUUGGUAAAAUGAAAAAAAGAAGAGGUUUAUAUUUGCAGUGAGUUUGGUAUAUACAAUAGGCGACCAUGGAUUAGCAGUGAAUAAACAUAUUGUUUGGUUUUCUGGAUUUAAUAAAAGAUGUCUGCGAUGGUUCCUCAAGACAAAAGCUUAACACUGACCAUUCAGAUGCAUCAUUUUACACCUAAAUUAUGUCCCUUAUGCUAUGGGACAAACUAUUUCAAUCGAUUAUAAAAUUG